CCUACGGGGGGCAGCAGUGAGGAAUAUUGGUCAAUGGGCGCAAGCCUGAACCAGCCAAGUCGCGUGAGGGAUGACGGUCCUAUGGAUUGUAAACCUCUUUUGUCGGGGAGCAAGGCCCGCCACGUGUGGCGGGAAGGAGAGUACCCGAAGAAAAAGCAUCGGCUAACUCCGUGCCAGCAGCCGCGGUAAUACGGAGGAUGCGAGCGUUAUCCGGAUUUAUUGGGUUAAAAGGGUGCGUAGGCGGAAUGCCAAGUCAGCGGUAAAAUCGCGGGGCUAAACCUCGCUCCGCCGUUGAAACUGGGUUUCUUGAGGGGGCGAGAGGAAUGCGAAAUGCGUG
rnacentral:rRNA from 1 species